UGAGGAAUAUUGGGCAAUGGGAGGCAACUCUGACCCAGCCAUGCCGCGUGAACGAAGAAGGCCGGAAGGUUGUAAAGUUCUUUUGAAACUGAAGAAUAAGUAUUGCAGGGAAUGGCGAUAUGGUGACGGUAGGUUUUGAAUAAGCAACGGCUAAUUACGUGCCAGCAGCCGCGGUAACACGUAAGUUGCGAGCGUUGUUCGGAAUUAUUGGGCGUAAAGGGCAUGUAGGCGGUUUUGCAAGCUUGGUGUGAAAUGCAUAGGCUCAACCUAUGAACUGCAUUGAGAACUACAAGACUUGAGUUACUGAGGUGGAACUGGAAUUCCAGGUGUAGGGGUGAAAUCUGCAGAUAUCUGGAAGAACACCAAUGGCGAAGGCAAGUUUCAAGCAGAUAACUGACGCU
rnacentral:rRNA from 1 species